GACCCCAUCACUCAGUCUUCUCUAACCUCCCAAUUCCCGUGCUGAUUUGCGGCGUGCGGCGGCUCCGUCCCUCCCACUCCUUCCCAGCAGCUUCCCCAUCCCGUUCUCCCUUUUACCGUAACCCCCAUAAAACUCCGAAACCCUAGCGCGCCAAUUCCUGGUAAGCUAAAAUCCUCACACUCCAAUCAACUUAAAAUUCGCGAUCUCUUGUAGCAGCGAGGCCGGCGAGGAAGGGAUCUAUGGCUGCCUUGUCUCAAUUGACUUCGAAUCUAAUUCGAGGGGAGGGAUUCAGUUCGGUUUUGAGUGAGAGAGGGGUCGGAGCGAGGGAGGCUUCGUGUUCGGUGUGGAAUGCGGAGAGGCGAGCGCAAGGGGCGCGGCUUGUGGCUGUAGGGUCUGGUCGAGGGCGGCGGGUGGUGGUAGCCGCGAGCCCGCCCACGGAGGAUGCGGUGGUGGUGACGGAGCCGUUAACGAAAGAGGAUCUUGUCGCAUAUCUCGCAUCUGGGUGCAAGCCUAAGGAGAAAUGGAGGAUAGGUACCGAGCAUGAAAAGUUUGGCUUUGAAGUAGGUACUUUGCGUCCAAUGAAGUAUGAACAAAUUGCGGAGUUGCUUUAUGGAAUCGCCGAGAGAUUUGAUUGGGAAAAGAUAAUGGA
rnacentral:misc_RNA from 1 species